GGGACCUUGGCGCAGUUGGUUACCGCGCAGGUCUCAUAACUUCUUAUCUAUCUAUUGACAUAAGAUAAUCUAUGAUCUGGUAGGUCGUGAGUUCGAUCCUCACAGGUCCCA